rnacentral:rRNA from 1 species
UACGUAGGGUGCAAGCGUUUGUCCGGAAUUAUUGGGCGUAAAGAGCUCGUAGGCGGUCUGUCACGUCGGAUGUGAAAAUCCAGGGCUUAACCCUGGACCUGCAUUCGAUACGGGCAGACUAGAGUUCGGUAGGGGAGACGUGGAAUUCCUGGUGUAGCGGUGGAAUGCGCAGAUAUCAGGAGGAACACCCGUAGCGAAGGCGGCACUCUGGGCCGGAUACUGACGCUGAGGAGCGAAAGCGUGGGGAGCAAACAGG